CUUCCGCUCUGCCUCUGGCCGGAGCCCAGCCCCGCGAGCCGGUGAAGCCGCGGAGGGGAGGACACGGACAGGAGGAGGGGCGCGGCGGGCUGGGGCGAGCCGGGUUCUGAGCAAGGGGCGCCCGCAGCCGGGAGCUCUCGCUCGCUCUCUGCUCCCGGCGCUGCUAGGGGUUCCAGGCGGCGCGACGCCGCUGCACUCUUUCUAGGCGGCGGCCAGCGGAGGUUUCCCGCAGCCGGCCCCCAUUACGCCGGCGAGUCCCUGUUUAUCCCGGAGGACGCGCCCGGCCGCCCGAGCUGAAGCGAGCGCGAAGUCCGAAGUCACCCCCCCAGCGUCGCCAACUUCCCCGGGAGCCCCUCUCCCCGCCGCAGCCUGCGCCAGCCCUGGGAGCGAUGCGCCCCCAGCCGGGCGGCGCGCCCUCUGCCAACUCGCCACUCAUGGGAUCCACCGCCCUCGGCUGCCCCGCUUGGAGCGCGUAGCCUUCGCCGCGUGGCCCGAGAGAGGAGCGAGACACCAAGGCGUUUUGUGGAUUCCGCGCGCGCGCGCGCGGGUCUGCUAGGGUCUCCUGCGGGGCAGAGUCCAUACCCAGGGGCAACUGAGGGGGCAUUCAGCUGGGGCGACGCGGACUUGGCUGAUCCUCGGAUGCCAGCCCGGCCUUCUUCGUGGCCCCUGUGGCGGGUAUUCCAGUUCCCUAGGCUGGGCAACGAGCCAGACCUCAGCGUUUUGCUCCUCUAUGUUCCCCGAAGGGGAGGGGGAGUUGCAGAAACACCCGGGCCAGGCACGAGUUUAUUCUUCUUUACCUCUCUGCUGCACUUUUAUCCUAAGACUCAGAUGGAGGUAUUGUGUUGGAGUGCCUGGGAAGGGUGUGGACAGGUGGUGUGCGUGGGUCAGUGUGAGGACAUGUCGUUUGAGAGCUGGACAGAAAGAGAAUAGAGACCGUGUAUCCCCCACCCACGGAGAUGCACAAUGACAGAGGGCGGGGCAGCGCUUUGAAAAAGUUUCUUCUGAAUGCACCAUCCUUCCAGUAAUGUGAAUGUGCAAAAUACUCCAGGGGCGCUGAAACCAGUGGCACUCCAAAGUGGCAUCUUCCCUUGUCAGCUGUGUGGCUUCCUCCCUCAGUUUGUUCAUCGGUAGAUUGGGGACAGUUAUCUCUGCUCCUGGCAGAAGCCUCUCUGUCUGUAAAGGAGAUACUUAAAGAUGGGUGUCAGGUUGGAAGAAGUGGGAGCCACUGCGGGGAGGUGUGUGGGAAAACAAGUUGUCUGGAGGCACCAUGCAUAGGAGACACUCCUUUUCACUCAGAUUUUGUGUUUGGAGGAGGUUGAUUGGUUUUGAGGAGAUUAAUGGAGAUUUUGAAAUGCUAAAGCUUUCCCAACACCCCCUUGGCACCGCCACUCCGCUGUCUGCCAGCGAGCUGUUUGUAUUAUGGAAAUAAAGUGACGGACACUCAAAAUGC
ensembl:lncRNA